UAGCAUUCAGAUUCAGAGCCUAUGGGA
rnacentral:piRNA from 1 species